rnacentral:rRNA from 1 species
AAGAUGGCGACCGGCGCACGGGUGAGUAACACGUAUCCAACCUGCCGAUAACUCUGGAAUAGCCUUUCGAAAGAAAGAUUAAUACCGGAUGGCAUACGAAUAUCGCAUGAUAUUUUUAUUAAAGAAUUUCGGUUAUCGAUGGGGAUGCGUUCCAUUAGUUUGUUGGCGGGGUAACGGCCCACCAAGACACGAUGGAUAGGGGUUCUGAGAGGAAGGUCCCCCACAUGGAACUGAGACACGGUCCAA